CAAUCAGCGGAAGGUCUGAAGUAUCGCGCUGAGCCGAACGUGGUACCGAUAGUGCCGGCCAGUGCGUUUGGCAACGAAUUAGAGACGACACGGAGCGCCCCAAAAUCACCCCUGCUAGAGAUAGUGCUUCGCAUUCUGGACAGCAUACAGAUUGUGCCGAAGAAGCGGUCAAGGCGACGGGCGCGAUCGUACAGACCUGCUUCCGGGGACGCGCUACGUCUAUCUGCUACGGCUACCGCCGUUUUUCGGCAGUUCAAUUUUCGGAGGGCGGGUGGAGAAACCACUAAUGGCACUAUCGCUAGAAUCUAGCGAGACGGCAGCAGCGCCGGCUUCCGACCAGCUUGAUGACGAUGAUUACGAUUAUGCUGAUGUCGAUGAUGGUGAUGAUGUCGAUGAUGGUGAUGAUGAUCGAAGGGAAGGGUUUUUCCCACUGACCAGCUAUCAGCUGAGGCAGCUAACCAGCUCCAGGCGGUUUUACGAUAUGGUGCUGGGCGUGCUGGGCGUGAUGGAGACCGAAGCGCGCCACCAGGUGCAACGUGCCCGGGACCGUAAGCAGGAAAUCGUGCGAUCAGCAAACGGUGGGGACGAUCGGCCGACGUCCGAAGAGCAGCCGGCGUAAUGUGUUGUCAAUUUUGUGCUGAUGAAAGGAAAACUAUACACUACCGAACUAACGAUAGGGAAUAAGUAAGGGAGAGAAGGAAAGCGAGAGAGACAGGGAGAGAGAGAGAUAAAGAGAGAGAAACAAACGAACAAUAUGAUCCACCAAACUGGAUCGGAGGGCAAACCGCGUGAACCCGGGCACGAGCCGCGCUGCAGUUGACAUUGAAUUCCAAUUGAAAUAAACUUGUACCUUAUUGACAAAAGGCCGUGACGGUGGUGAUGGAGGGCCAACGUGAAAGAUGCAAUGCAAUGAUCGCUGAUGUGUGGAAUGAACAUUUUGAACGGCUACAUGAGAACUAAAUAGCUCCAACCGCUCUAAUAGAAAGCCAUGCGCAAAGUUUUAAAAGGCUUGCAUGUGCGCACCCUUUACAACUUCAUUUGCGCCUGAUAAUGGAUGCCAAAAGCCUCAUUUCUGUGUAGAAUUCCUCCAGCAAUCGUAAUUCUGCUAAAUUCGACUGACGUCGCACGCUAUCAUCAAUCGGAAGUUGCACGAACUCCGACGAUCGGCCCGUUGUUUACGGGCCGUCGCUCCUAUCGCGCUGUCGAACUUCGGCGCACGACUUCGGUAGGUAGGUGAUACAGGGCAGGCGGCAGGCCCUGAUAAGGUAGCAAGACAAAAAAAGGGAUUUGAACUAAAUUGUGGGAAGCAUACGCACACACACACGCACCCAACAACCCCCGAACGAGCGUAACGAUCGUAGAGCAGUCGCUGGUCGGUACAUGAAUGUGCUAACGCGAUCGCGUCUCCUCCGCCGCAAACAUCAGCGAUCGCCACCGCCACACAUGAGCCAUCCGGCUAGCGUACAUAAAAUAUCAGUUCAAGUGCGACGACUUUGAACAUUCGUGAUUACAAGCUCGCCCGUGUCGGAUCGCAAGUGAUCGCUGCUAGAAGUCGGAAGAACGAAGUUCCUAGUUUCUGUUUAAAGUUUCUUUUUUGUGUGUGUGAAUUUUGUGUGGAAAUAGCUUAACGCCAUGGCCAAGCUGGGACUGCUGUUUAUCGUCAUCUUCUGCAUCGUUCAGAUCACCCUUGCCGCCCGUCUACGGCGCGAUGUCGUCGAGGAGGGUGUACAAACGCUGAAGAAAACAAUCUCCGACACAUUCACAAAGGAAAACGUUGAUACCUUCUUUGACAAGCUUUCGCAGUUCGGUGAGAUGUUCAAGGAAAAGGCGGGCGAGCUAGGCGACACCAUCAAAUCGAAGGUGAAUGAGGCGACAAGCUAAACGGUCGGAUCGCUAAGCUGCUUCGAGGUUACCAUCACAGCGCUAAAAAAACUCAACAAACCGAAACAAAAUAAAAUAAAAUAAAACCCUCGUUUUGCUCGUCCCAGUAUACAGAUAUGUAAACUUCAAUGCAGAACAAAUAUAACAAGUGAUUCAACUUA